UUAAUUGAGAGUUUGAUCCUGGCUCAGGAUGAACGCUGGCGGCGUGCCUAACACAUGCAAGUCGAACGAACGAUAUUGAAUGAAAACCUCGGUUAGAUUUUAAUAAAGUUAGUGGCGGACGGGUGAGUAACGCGUAAGUAAUCAACCCAUGACAGAAGGAUAACUAAGAGAAAUUUUAGCUAAAACUUCAUAAAUUAAUACUACGGGAGUAGAAUUAAAGAAAACUGAGGUGGUCAUGGACGAGCUUGCGACUGAUUAGCCAGUUGGUGAGGUAACGGCCCACCAAAGCAACGAUCAGUAGCCGACCUGAGAGGGUGAUCGGCCACAUUGGUACUGAGAACGGACCAAACUCCUACGGGAGGCAGCAGUGGGGGAUAUUGCACAAUGGAGGCAACUCUGAUGCAGCAACGCCGCGUGAGUGAAGAAGGCUUUCGAGUCGUAAAACUCUGUCGUAUGGGAAGAAACAAAUGACGGUACCAUACAAGAAAGCCCCGGCUAACUACGUGCCAGCAGCCGCGGUAAUACGUAGGGGGCAAGCGUUAUCCGGAAUUACUGGGCGUAAAGGGUGCGUAGGCGGUAAUA
rfam:Peptostreptococcaceae bacterium CCRI-22567 contig-20, whole genome shotgun sequence.